rfam:Triticum aestivum genome assembly, contig: Triticum_aestivum_CS42_TGACv1_scaffold_177198_2DS
UGACUACUCCCUCAGUUUCAAAAUACAUGACUUCCAUUUGUCAAAAUAUAGAUGUAUGUAGACAUGUUUUAGUAUAUAGAUACAUUCAUUUUUGAACAAAUAAAAGUCAAGUAUUUGGGAACGGAGGGAGUUUGUU